rnacentral:rRNA from 1 species
AGCGAACGCUGGCGGCAGGCCUAACACAUGCAAGUCGAACGAAGCCUUCGGGCUUAGUGGCGGACGGGUGAGUAACACGUGGGAACGUACCUUUUGGUUCGGAACAACUCAGGGAAACUUGAGCUAAUACCGGAUGAGCCCUUAGGGGGAAAGAUUUAUCGCCGCAUGAGCGGCCCGCGUUAGUUUAGCUAGUUGGUGAGGUAAAGGCUCACCAAGGCAACGGUCGAUAGCGGGUCUGAGAGGAUGAUCAGCCACACUGGGACUGAGACACGGCCCAGACUCCUACGGGAGGCAGCAGUGGGGAAUCUUGCGCAAUGGGCGAAAGCCUAGCGCAGCCAUGCCGCGUGUAUGAUGAAGGUCUUGAGAUUGUAAAAUUCUUUUACCAGGGACGAUAAUGACGGUACCUGGAGAAAAAGCCCCGGCUAACUUCGUGCCAGCAGCCGCCGCCGUAA